ACUUCCGCAGUCAAAUGGCGAGCUAUACGAAUGACGCGUUAGGUGUGAACGUAUUCACGAUAGUGAUAUGGACAUUGAGCAGCGAACGGACAAUAAGUGGAAGAUCAAAUUGGGUUGUAGUGAAUUGAAUGCGCGAACGAAUAAAUUAAUAUUACGUGAAGAUGGAGUACAUGCCUUGAACGAAACGAUGAAUGGGGCAGAUGAUCAUUAUGGACUGAGUCAACAUGGUAAACGGUUUGUUGCUGCAUGGACCCUCACCUGUGGUGUCUGCUGCCUGGAGUUUGCUGGGGUGGUUGCGACUUCGACUGGGUGUUGCUGUGACUCACCGUUUCAACUACCUCCGGCAGCAUUGUCAUCAUUUUGAGAGGUUCGAGUCAUGGCCUCCUAACUUUGGUGUUCCAGAGAGGGAAUCCGUGAAGAGAAUCGCACAUCACUUCAGUAAAGGCCAGAAAUUUUAUUUACCAUUAUUUCAUAAGGUUAUGUAACCUAUAUGUGUCUUGUGACGGCAUCUAUUUGAAAUCGUUAGAAUGAUCUUUAAUGCUUUGAACUUUUGUUGGCUAAAAUCAACGGUCAAGUAACCAUUUAAAGAAGAAUAGUUAAAACUAACAUGUUUUGAUUUGUAGUUAAUAAUGUACGUACCUAGUUAUAGCCGAGCAAGAUAUGUACUUCAUAUUUUUUUUAAAAGGCCAAUAAUUACAGUCAGCACAAACCCUUCACUUCCUCAUAUUAAUGUUUCCUGAAUUAUCUCAUUUAAUAUUUAUUUAUUAUGAUUAAUAUGCCCCCAUUGAGAUUAUGUGGGAUGCUACAAUGGAUGAAAGUCCAGCAGGUUAAAGCAAGAGACAAUAGAAGGGUAACAUGGGUAUAAAAAAUUGUAUUCUUUUUAGUUUAUUUUUGUUAGUGCUAGGGUGAAAAAAAAAAGGGGGGGGUGGUUGGUGAAGGAAGGGGCCAUAAAGGAUGUAGAGGGAAAAGACAUCAGUGCAGUUUCUAAUGUGACACUAAGCCAAGAGACAGAGCACAAACCCUUCACUUGUUUUCUACUGGAGACAGUUAUACGGUGUGACUCAUAUUUGCGGGCCAACCUUAACAGUGAAAAUGUUGGAUAUCUUUGACCCAAAAUUAAGGAUGCAGUUCAUACGAAAGAGCGACCUGCUGUAGGUAAAUUACCAUACUUUUACACUUAUUAUGGAAGUGUUUCAAAUACAGUAAAACCUCAGUAUAACAAGCUUGAAGGGACUGAUUUCGGGUGUGUUUAUUAUAGUGAAGUUUUCUUUAUAACGAUGUGAAUUCAAAACUACAAGUGAUAUGUAUACAAAAAAUAAAUUAAAAAGAAUUGAAUGCAUGAUGCUAAGGGCCGCUUUAAGAGUAAAGUAAGUAAAUCCAAGCAAAAACUUUGACCGUUAAAUGAAAUGGAGAAAUACUUUAUUUUGCAUCAAAGUGACAACUAUGCAAGCCUGUGUAAUUUUCUUUUACUUAGACAAACUUUUUUGUCUCCCUAUCCAACACCAUAGGCUACAGAAUUUUUAAUUUUGUGGUAAAAUAUAUUGCAUUCUUUUUUUUAAAUCCAUUAUUGUAAACAAAAAAUAAUUAUAGCACAGAAAAAAGUUAAAAUUCGUCGUAAACAUCGCAUAUGGUUUUGUCUAUCCAUAACCUAAUUUGUAUGUAAUCAAAAGCAAUUCAUCAAAGCUAACCUCCAAACAACAAAAUACGCUAAAUAUAUUGCCUUCUUUUGACGUGACAACUAAUAAAUCGAUGAACGCCGGCUGCACGCACGAAAAAGUGUCCCGUUACGCACAUUGUCCCGUUAUGCUCAUUGUACACUUGCGCCGCAUCUAUCUCUCUUCCACUCGAUUGGAACAACCAUCGAUUUGACUUUUUCGAGUCACGUUAAACUUGAAGCACUCCCAUUCGUUUCCUUCUUUUCCUAUCAUCGUCCUAUCCUUAACAGAAUAACAAUGAUUGGAAGGAGUUAAAUAGCAAACAUGUAUAAAAGUUAUAGUUAAAAUAAUCUGUUAGUUAAAGUAAUAAACAUAUUUGAAUAACCGACUUUACAGACAACCAAUUUUUUUUUAAAAUAUAUUAUUGUAAACAAAAAAUAAUUAUAGCACCGAAAGAAGUUAAAAUGCGUCCCAAUCAUUGCACAUGGUUUUGUGCAUCCAUAACCUAAUUUGUAUGUAAACAUAAGUAAUUCAUCAAAGCUAACCUCCAAACAAUAAAA